rnacentral:rRNA from 1 species
GACGAACGCUGGCGGCGUGCUUAACACAUGCAAGUCGAACGGUAAGGCCCUUCGGGGUACACGAGUGGCGAACGGGUGAGUAACACGUGGGUGAUCUGCCCUGCACUUCGGGAUAAGCCUGGGAAACUGGGUCUAAUACCGGAUAGGACCACUGCCUGCAUGGGGGGUGGGGGAAAGCUUUUGCGGUGUGGGAGGGGCCCGCGGCCUAUCAGCUUGUUGGUGGGGUGAUGGCCUACCAAGGCGACGACGGGUAGCCGGCCUGAGAGGGUGACCGGCCACACUGGGACUGAGAUACGGCCCAGACUCCUACGGGAGGCAGCAGUGGGGAAUAUUGCACAAUGGGCGCAAGCCUGAUGCAGCGACGCCGCGUGAGGGAUGACGGCCUUCGGGUUGUGAACCUCUUUCAGCACCGACGAAGCGCAAAUGACGGUAGGUGCAGAAGAAGGACCGGCCAACUACGUGCCAGCCGCCGCCGUAA